UAGUCUGAAAAAUCAUACUUUUACAGAAAAAAAAAACAACAGAAAUUAUAUUUAUUUGCAAGAAUCAAUCCAGUUUUAGGUUGGAUCAUAAAAAGGGCCGCAAUUCACAAUGUGCAAUCAUUCCGAUUGGAGGUUGCUGGCCACAUAAAGGAUACAAAGGUGCAUCAUAUCUCCCCAACCUUUCCAACUUUUGGACACAACAAAGCCGCUGUUCUGGUUUUUUGGUCACAGGCCGCGGCAAUAUGAAAAUGACAUUAGCCAAGCGCCAGACCGCGGCUAGACAAAAAGCCAGACGACGGGAAAACAACAACAACAAAAAGGCAGGAUGGAGGGCUGCUGAGAGGGGCACUGUAAAGGUAGCAAAAGGUCGAAAACUAAAUGCAGAACUCAGCCAAAAAGGGCGCAGCUCAGGGCUGAGAGCCGAGGAAGUGGAGAAUACGCGGCAAGGUGCGAUGCAUAAUUAAGAUAAUAAAAUAUUAAUUAAAAUUA